UUUAUACAUAUAUGCCAGCGACAAUUCCUUUAGAAAUGAUUGAGCUGACGUACGGGACACUGGAAAGGUAUUCAGGCCGUUAGCAACCAAGUUUUGAAACUUAAUAAUUUGAGGAGGAUGCUAUUCACUGUAUUGACUCCUCUAUUGACUUAUAGGGGUUCAUAAUUCGUUUAUUACACCAAGAAUAAUGGAAUUACUUCUGUAUAUAAGUUGUUUCUUUGUUGCUACUGGACUAAUAUAUAUAUUUUUGCUAAUUUGUCAUCACGUCAGCCUAAUUCUUUUUUUGUCCUUCUAAAUAAUAAGGAUGGAUAUAUCUGUCAUCAGACAAUAGAGCAACUCAUGCAAGUAAGUACUCCCUAUCACAAGUGUCAUAUAACAGCUGUUUUUGACAUAAAAAAUUCUAAUGGAAAAUGAAAAUUCCAAGCCAAAAGUAAUAUCAGCUCAAGUGGAAGGAGGAAAAAACUUCAGGAUAACUGAGAAGUGUAUUAUUGUUCAUUAUUAAAAUAGUGAAUAAAAUUGCUUAUCUCCUCGUUUUUUUUUCCUGCGGUUAAAUGAAUGAUUGUUUGAGUUUUACACAAGCCUAUUUUAUUGGAAGUGUUUAAAAGAACUGAUUUUGGAGAGAAAAAAAAUGCAAAAUGGAUAGUGAUUCCUGUAGAAUAACCAAUACUCCACUAUACUCAGAAGAGGCUGAUGAUUUGAAAUGGGUUCCCCUUACACUGACUUUGGUAGAAUACCCGAAAGGUGAUAUUAUAGGAAAGUUCUUGGCUCUCAUAAGCUUAGCCCCGUUUGGCAUCGGUGCCGGAUUUGUGGCUCUGAUAUUAUUUAGAAGAGACCUACAUACUAUAACAUUUUUCUUGGGCACAAUAUGUUCAGAAGCACUCAAUUAUGUUCUUAAACACUUAAUAGCCGAAAAAAGGCCGAUCCAUAGAGAAGAUGUCCAUGUCGAAUAUGGGAUGCCUUCGUCACACUCUCAAUUUGUAUCAUUUUUUGCCACAUAUAUUAUUUAUUUCGUAUUUAUAAGGUUGUAUCAUUUGAACAAUAACACAAUAAUAGAGAAUAUUUCAAAGUUUUUGAUAAUUACAUCGUCCAUGGUGGUAGCAGUGCUAGUGUGUAUCAGUAGGGUAUAUUUACAGUACCACACAUUGUCUCAAGUUCUUUGGGGGAUAAUCGUAGGAUUUUUAUUUGCAACUUUUUGGUUUGCACUGACUUCACUAGUUUUUACCCCGUUGUACCCGCAGAUUGUUACUUGGAGGAUCUCAGAAAUGCUAAUGAUAAGAGACACCACCCUCAUACCGAACGUGUUAUGGUUCGAAUACACGAACACGCGACAAGAGGCGAGGGCCAGAAGUCGAAAACUGGUCAGCCUGAAGUCCCAAUGACAUUUGCUGGACCACAGUUUCAAUUUCGCCCUGCCCCGGGGUGUCAUUAGGUUUCUCAGAAUCCUGCUUCCGUGGCGCAGAAAGAUCUAAGUAACUGCGACGAGUAACUCGACUUGACUGAGAAAAUUGAAACUAUUCCAUAAUGUUAGAAGAAGAAUUAAUUCUUGACCUUCCACGAUCCUUUUGAUCAUUGAUAACAGAAGAACCCCUCUUGUAUAUUUCAGAUCCUUUUCAGCAGUAGAUAGAUACUCAAAAUAAUCACUAAACUCGACAUCUUGAAUUGAAGGAAUGUUUACAUAACUUACUCAGUAGCUGAAUAGAUGGACCUUUUUGGAAUAUUAUGCCAUAAAUUCUUAGAAAUCUGAAUAUACAUUCAUGAUACCCUCUUUGUUACUAUUUAAAAUUACUUAAAUAAAGUAAACAGUGUUUGUUAACUUAAAAUUUUUAAACUAGAGGAGUCAUACGAGUAAGAGAUGCACUAAUUGGCUAAAAAUAAACAGUAAUAAUACAUUUCAACAAUAAUGAAUAAUACUUUACCUGUAUACUGCCCAUUUGUGUUUUCUUUGUUUUGGUAUUAAUAAUUUGUUGAUAUGCGAUGCUUUUAUUUUGUAAAACCUAACCUACUCGAUUAGUGUUUCUCUAGCAUAUAUUUGAAAAAUAAUCAAUCAAUCUUGUUAGACCUUUCUUGAGAGGCUAUUACGCACAAAUAUUAAUAAAAUAAUAGUUGUCGUCUAUUUAUACUAAUUUAUAAGGUUAAUUAAGCUGGUUUUACUUGAGUGAAAUGUUUGAAUAAGUUGAUAUUCUUACCUCUCGAUUCAAUCUUACGUAGGUGGUUCUUCAGCUACUUAAGAAUUCGAUAGUGCUUAGAACUUUUUUUCAAUGAAUUAACAGUGGAAAUCUUCGAAUAAAAUUUAGUAUACAAUAAUAUUCUACUGUAAAAAGUACUUUUCCUUGUCAAUACCACUGGUAAAACAAGCUUAAUACAAACUUCAUAACCCUUUAUUGUUUCCGAUCUCUUUAUAAUAUGAUUAUUUACAAAGCUAGCACAGUUGGCCGUGAAUAAACCUUAAAUAAUAAUAAUUGUUAGUUCAUAUACUCUUUUAACAGAUUAAAACAAUGUCGUAGUAAAUUACGUCUUGUUUAAGCUAAUAUUAAAUUAGUGGUUAAGCUAGACUUACUUACUUUCGGACAGCAAUGCGGUAACAGUGUCAGGUACCGCUGCAAUAGGUUUUAGGCGUAAUAAAAACGUUUGUAUAAUGUAUAAUUUUUUUAAUGUUAAUAAAGUAAGGGAUUUUGGUACUA
rnacentral:misc_RNA from 1 species